AGCUUUCCUGCCAGGUCCUGUAUGAAGCAGAGCAAUCCCGAGCUUUUCUGCUUGGCCCAUUCGGUGAAGUGGGGCAAUCCUGAAUAUUUCUGCUUGGCAUGUUCUGUGUGCCGCUGCGGGGUCCUGUGAGGAGAGCUCAGGCAAGCUUAGAAGUCCCGACAUGGGUGUUGUGACCUAUGAUGAUGUGCAUAUGAACUUCACUCAGGAAGAGUGGGCUUUGCUGGAUCCUUCUCAGAAGAGUCUCUACAGAGAGGUGAUGCUGGAGACCUAUAGGAAUCUCGCUGCUAUAGGCUACAGUUGGGAAGACCAUAAUGCUGAAGAACAUUUUCAAAGUUCUAGAAGACAUGGAAGGCAUGAAAGAAGUGAUACUGAAGAGAAACCCUCUGAAUUUACUCACUGUGGUAAAGUCUUUGCAUAUCAGAGCCACCCUCAAGAGCAUCAACGAAUUCAUACUGUUGAGAAACCCUAUGAAAUUAUUCAACAUUGUAAGGCCUUUGCAUAUCACAGUAAUGUCCAAAUACAUAAAAGAACACAUGGUGGGGACAAACGAUAUAAGUUUAACGAAUGUGGUAAAGCCUUUCCAUGUCACAAUUCUCUUCGAAGGCAUAAAAGAGUUCAUUCAAGUGAGAAAGCUUAUGAAUGUAAUCAAUGUGCUAAAGACUUUGCACAACAUAGUCAUCUUCAACGGCAUGCAAGAAUUCAUAUUGUUAAAUGUAGCCAACGUAGUAAAGACUUUGCAUGUUAUACUAAUCCCCAAAUACAUCAAAGAACCCAUACAGGAAAGAAACCUUAUCAAUGUAUGUUCUGUGAUAAAGCCUUUAUACAUCGCAGUCAUCUUGAAAGGCAUGAAAGAAUUCAUACUGGGGAGAAACCUUGUGAAUGUAAGCGAUGUGGUAAAGCCUUUGCUUGUCAAAGUGAUCUCCAACAGCAUAAAGGAACACAUACUGGAGAGAAAUCCUAUGAAUGUAACCAGUGUAAUAAAGCCUUUGGGCUUCGCUGUCAUCUUCAAAGGCAUCAAAGAAUUCAUACUGUAGAGAAACCCUAUGAACGUAAUCAAUGUGGGAAAUUCUUUGCACAAAACAAUCAUUUUCUACAACAAAAAAGAACACAUACUGAAAAGAAACCCUAUGAAUGUAAUCAAUGUGAUAAAGCCUUUGCAGGUCAAACUAGUCUCCUAUAUCAUAAAAGAACACAUACUGGAGAGAAACCAUAUGGAUGUAAUGAAUGUGGCAAAGCCUUUGUACUUCACAGUCAUCUUCAAAUACAUAAAAGAAUACAUACUGGAGAGAAACCCUAUGAAUGUAAGCAAUGUGGUAAAGCCUUUGCACGAAAGAGUAAUCUCCAAGUGCAUAAGCGAAUACAUACUGGAGAGAAACCCUAUGAAUGUAAACAAUGUGGUAAAGCCUUUGGUUGUCAAAGUAGCCUCCAAAAUCAUAAACGAACACAUACUGGAGAGAAACCCUAUGAAUGUAAGCAAUGUGGUAAAGCCUUUGUGUGUCAAAGUGGUCUUCAAAACCACAAACGAACACAUACUGGAGAGAAACCCUAUGAAUGCAAUCAAUGUGAUAAAGCCUUUAAAUGUCAAAGUGGUCUCCUGUAUCAUAAAAGAACACAUACUGGAGAGAAACCAUAUGGAUGUAAAGAAUGUGGUAAAGCAUUUAUACUUCACAGUCAUCUUCAAAUACAUAAAAGAUCACAUACUGGAGAGAAACCCUUUGAAUGUGACCAGUGUGGUAAAGCCUUUGCUCGAAACAGUUAUCUCAUAACACAUAAAAGAAUACAUACUGGACAGAAACCGUAUGGAUGCAAGCAAUGUGGCAAAGCCUUUGCAAAUUACGGUAAUCUCCAAGGGCAUAAAAGAAUACAUACUGGAGAGAAACCCUAUGAAUGUAAGGAGUGUGGUAAAGCUUUUGGGCGCCAGAGUGGUCUCCAAUAUCAUAAAAGAACACAACACAUACAGGAGGGAAACCCUAUGACUGUAAUCAAUGUGAUAUAGCCUUUGCAUGUCAGACAUCUUCAAAGCACUAAAGAAACAUUAUUGUAGAGAAACUCUGUGAGUAUAUUUAAUAUGGUGAAGCCUUUGUACAUUUCUAUAGUCUUCACCAUCAUGAAAGAAACCCACACUGAGAGAAACUAAGAAUGUACUACAUCGGAUCAAGCCUUUUAACGUUUCACAAGUCUUCCUCAUCAUGAAAGGAUUCAUACUGGGCAAAACUUGAAUAUAUUUAAUAUGGUGAAACAUUUGAACAUUUCUGCCAUCUUCAUCAUCAUGAAAGUAUUCCUACUGGAGAGAAACUCUGACUAUAAUAGAUUUGUGAUAUGUAUAGCUGUCAUACUACCAUUCAGUUACACAAGAUCAUUUUUCUAGAGAAAAAAAUGUGACAAGUGUCAACAGUCUAUUCAAGCAUUAUGAUGUGAUAUGCCUCUUUCUUUUGUUUGCACUUGCAAACACAGCAAUCCCUGAUUUUUUUUGUUUGCAUUUAUAAUCAUAUUCCUCUGCAGUUACAUGAAAUAGCUCAUCCAGGUAUAAAGCUUUGUAUUUUGAAAGGUUUGAAGUAGGUAUUGAAGUUUGCUGUAUGUCUUACAAAUUUCCAAAAAUGCUUUUUAUGUUUCUAUGGUAAAACACAAUGUCUAAGGCAGCUUAUAAAAGAGGUUAAUUUGGCUUAUCCAAAAUAGGUAUAAGCGGCAGAUAGAGGGAGAGAGAUGGAAGGAAUGUGGGAUUCAGAGGACAGGAGAGAUGGCUAGAUGGUCAGGAAAAUGUGCCCCAGACCACCCCAGCCGGUAUAGGGGUCCCUGGGAUGUGGGUUCUCAAGGUCAGGUGGGUAAGGAUUAGGUGGUGACAAACAGAAAACAAACACAGAGGCAGUUUGAAUCUGAGUGUAUUUUACAGCUCUCAAUCAAGGGGUUUUAUACAUAGAGAAACAGGUGUUACAGCUCGGAAAAGCUUUGUUCAGUGAAGCAGCAAAAUAGAACAGAUAUAACAAUAAUCAUUUGGUACAUCAAAAUACAAAAUUAUCCAAGUCUUAUAACUUCAAAAAAAAGUGUUUUCAGUAAAACAUCCAGGUAGAACGAAUAUUGUUAUGAUCAUUUAGUACAUCAAAAUACAAAAAUCAUCUAAGGCUAGUGGCAAAUUCCCAAAAAUAAGCUAAUGAAUUUUUUUUAUGAUUACUAUUUAACCUCUAGUUCUUGUACU